AUUGAACGCUGGCGGCAGGCCUAACACAUGCAAGUCGAACGAGUGGCGGACGGGUGAGUAAUGUCUGGGAAACUGACUGAUGGAGGGGGAUAACUACUGGAAACGGUAGCUAAUACCGCAUACCAUCGGAUGUGCCGAGAUGGGAUUAGCUUGUUGGUGGGGUAACGGCUCACCAAGGCCACGAUCCCUAGCUGGUCUGAGAGGACGACCAGCCACACUGGAACUGAGACACGGUCCAGACUCCAACGGUAGGCAGCAGUGGGGAAUAUUGCACGAUGGGCUCAAGCCUGAUGCAGCCAUGCCGCGUGUAUGAAGAAGGCCUUCGGGUUGUAAAGUACUUUCAGCGGGGAGGCGUUACCCGCAGAAAAAGCACCGGCUAACUCCGUGCCAGCCGCCGCGGUAAUAC
rnacentral:rRNA from 1 species